rnacentral:rRNA from 1 species
CCUACGGGCGGCAGCAGUGAGGAAUAUUGGUCAAUGGACGAGAGUCUGAACCAGCCAAGUAGCGUGAAGGAUGACUGCCCUAUGGGUUGUAAACUUCUUUUAUAAAGGAAUAAAACGAGGCACGUGUGCCUUUUUGCAUGUACUUUAUGAAUAAGGAUCGGCUAACUCCGUGCCAGCAGCCGCGGUAAUACGGAGGAUCCGAGCGUUAUCCGGAUUUAUUGGGUUUAAAGGGAGCGUAGAUGGGUUGUUAAGUCAGUUGUGAAAGUUUGCGGCUCAACCGUAAAAUUGCAAUUGAUACUGGCAGUCGUGAGUACAGUUGAGGUAAGCGGAAUGCGUGGUGUAGCGGUGAAAUGCUUAGAUAUCACGAAGAACCCCGAUUGCGAAGGCAGCUUACUAAACUGUGACUGACAUUGAUGCUCGAAAGUGUGGGUAUCAAACAGGAUUAGAUACCCCUGUAGUC